UACAGAGGUGGCAAGCGUUGUUCGGAAUUACUGGGCGUAAAGGGCGCGUAGGCGGCCUUCUAAGUCAGACGUGAAAUCCCCAGGCUUAACUUGGGAACUGCGUCUGAUACUGGGAGGCUUGAGUUUGGGAGAGGGAUGCGGAAUUCCAGGUGUAGCGGUGAAAUGCGUAGAUAUCUGGAGGAACACCGGUGGCGAAGGCGGCAUCCUGGACCAACACUGACGCUGAGGAGCGAAAGCCAGGGGAGCAAACGGG
rnacentral:rRNA from 1 species